GCAAUUCUGAAUAUUUUGAUUUAUGCAUUUUCAUGUCUAGAUUUUGUUCCAAAAAUGUUACUGAUGAUUAUCUAACUAAUCUAUACAAAUGCUCUUUUCUUUGGUAAGAUCCACAGCUCAUCAUCAUAUGCACCAGGCCAGGAAUUUCUUGAAAAUAACAUCAGAGUAAAACCAGACUUAGAUGCCCUCGGGGCACUGGGAGAUGCAGGCUGGUACUGCAUUGGCGCGAUAUUGUGGGCUAUGAACCAAACUUUGCCAACGACUGUGACUGCACUGCCUAAUGUUGCAAGAAACUCAGCUGGAGUUAUCUUAACAUGUAGUGCCUCCUUGUAUUGGGAAAAAGAGGAAACCGUUGCUACAUUUUACUGCUCUUUCAUUGCACACGAGACAAUGGACUUGCGAGUUUAUGGCUCUAAUGGGACAUGUUAUCUCUAUGACUU
rnacentral:misc_RNA from 1 species